rnacentral:rRNA from 1 species
CCUACGGGUGGCAGCAGUGGGGAAUAUUGCGCAAUGGGCGAAAGCCUGACGCAGCGACGCCGCGUGAGGGAUGAAGGUCUUCGGAUCGUAAACCUCUGUCAGCAGGGAAGAACGGUCACUGUGCUAAUCAGCAGUGAAUUGACGGUACCUGCAAAGGAAGCACCGGCUAACUCCGUGCCAGCAGCCGCGGUAAUACGGAGGGUGCGAGCGUUAAUCGGAAUUACUGGGCGUAAAGCGCUCGUAGGCGGUAUGUCAAGUCAAGGGUGAAAUCCCCGCGCUCAACGUGGGAACUGCCUUUGAAACUGGCAAACUGGAGUGUGUGAGAGGAUAGUGGAAUUCCAGGUGUAGGGGUGAAAUGCGUAGAUAUCUGGAGGAACAUCAGUGGCGAAGGCGACUAUCUGGCAAAUAACUGACGCUGAGGUGCGAAAGCGUGGGUAGCAAACAGGAUUAGAUACCCGUGUAGUC